rnacentral:snRNA from 1 species
AUCGCUUCUCGGCCUUUUGGCUAAGAUCAAGUGUAGUAUCUGUUCUUAUCAGUUUAAUAAUACACCAAUAAGACAAUAAUACAACAAUAGCACAGUGCCUGCCACAUAUCUGAUUAUUUAUAAAUAUCUGAAGAAUGAAUGAAAAAAAGACAGUUGUU